CCAGCACCUUGACCUCAGAAUGAUCAGGGCCAGAAGGUUGAUGAUUGAGAUUCGCGAAACAUCAUCCUGUUAC